CACGUAGGGGGCAAGCGUUGUCCGGAUUUAUUGGGCGUAAAGAGCUCGUAGGCGGUUCGGUAAGUCGGGUGUGAAACCUCCAGGCUCAACCUGGAGACGCCACCCGAUACUGCUGUGACUAGAGUCCGGUAGGGGAGCGUGGAAUUCCUGGUGUAGCGGUGGAAUGCGCAGAUAUCAGGAGGAACACCGAUGGCGAAGGCAGCUCGCUGGGACGGUACUGACGCUGAGGCGCGAAAGCGUGGGGAGCGAACAGG
rnacentral:rRNA from 1 species